AACCCGACUCCGUGAAGCUGGAUUCGCUAGUAAUCGCGCAUCAGCCAUGGCGCGGUGAAUACGUUCCCGGGCCUUGUACACACCACCCGUCAAGCCAUGGGAGCCGGGGGUGCUUGAAGUGCGUCGCCGCAAGGCGCGCCCUAGAGCAAAACCGGUGACUGGGGCUAAGUCGUAACAAGGUACC
rnacentral:rRNA from 1 species